rnacentral:rRNA from 1 species
ACGUGAUCUGAGUUCAGACCGGAGCAAUCCAGGUCAGUUUCUAUCUAUAAGAAAUUUUUUCUAGUACGAAAGGACCGAAAUAAUAUAGCCAAUGCCUACAGUAAGCUAUUUCUACUAACUUUUGAAUUCAACUCAACUAGCAAGUAGUUCCCUACAUAGUUCUAAACCAGAGC